UAUAAGAGAAAAAGGCAAAAAUAACGCCUAAGGGUGUGGCGUUAAUGAAGUUGGCGAGAACCAUGAGCUCUCAAAUUCAAAUCCCAGCGGAGGUAUCCCAUGAAAUUAAUCAGGUGCACGCAAGCUGGUCGGGACACUACGGCUAUCAAAAGAUAAGGCAAAAAUAGUACACUAUCUUUGGACUUAGACUCGAGAUGAUUCUGACUUCCACAUGGAGCAUUAACAAAGGGGUGCACUUUCAGUAUGUGGAUGCUCUCUCUUCUACUUUUCUUUCUUCUUUUCUUUUUUUUGUUUUGUUUUGUUUGGUUUGGUGUUAUAUAUGGAAUAGUUGUUUCUGUUGUUUGCAAUCUCUAAUAGAAAGUGAAACUCAUGUCUGAUAUUUUAUUUUUUUCAUCCCAUGUGGAAGAGGAGCACAACGGUAAAGUUGUCUCCAUGUAACUUACAGGUCACGGGUUCGAGCCGUGAAAACAGUCAAUAAUGUUUGUAUUAAGGUUGGUUGUCUACAUCACACCCUAGGGGUGCGGCUCUGCGUGAAUGCAGAUACUUUUUGCA